rnacentral:rRNA from 1 species
UGAGUAAAGUGGCGUACGGGUGAGUAACACGUGGAUUAUCUACCUCUUAGUGGGGAAUAACUCUGGGAAACCGGAGCUAAUACCGCAUAAGCCUGGAAAGGGAAAGUCGCAAGACGCUGAGAGAGGAGUCCGCGGCCGAUUAGCUAGUUGGCAGGGUAAAAGCCUACCAAGGCUACGAUCAGUAACUGGUGUGAGAGCACGACCAGUCACACGGGCACUGAGACACGGGCCCG